rnacentral:rRNA from 1 species
UGCGAUAAUACGCGCGAAACCUUACCAGCUUUUGCAUGAUGAACAAAUCUUUUUGAGAAAAAAGAAAGAGUUUACACAGGUGCUGCAUGGCUGUCGUCAGCCCGUGUCGUAAGAUGUUAGGUUAACUCCUUUUAACGGGCGAAACCCCCUUUUCUUGUUGCUAUUUGCUUGGAAAAGGAAGGAACUCUAGAAAGACUGCUGCUGGUUUUUUUAAAGACCAGAAAGAGGAAGGAGGGGAUGACGUCAAGGCUUUAUGGCCCUUAUAAGCUGGGCUACACACGUGCUACAAUGGCAAUGACAACGAGAGGCAAUAGGGUAACCUGGAGCCAAUCUUAAAAAAUUGCCAAUGUUCAGAUUGAGGGCUGAAACUCGCCCUCAUGAAGGUGGAAUCACUAGUAAUCGCGAAUCAGCACGUCGCGGUGAAUUUGUACCUAGGCCUUGUACACACCGCCCGUCACGUGCCGGGAGUUGGUCUGGCUAGAAGAAUGUGGCUCAACUUUAGGAGAAGAAAGAUUUUUCUUUUUAGAAGAGAAAACUUCCUUUGGGAAGGAGGGAGCAUUCCCACAGAUGGGUCGAUGACUG